rnacentral:rRNA from 1 species
AUACGGAGGAUCCGAGCGUUAUCCGGAUUUAUUGGGUUUAAAGGGUGCGCAGGCGGGAGAUUAAGUCGGCGGUGAAAAUUUUCGGCUCAACUGUAAAAGAGCCUUCGAAACUGGGUUCCUUGAGUGUAGAUGACGUCGGCGGAAUUUGUGGUGUAGCGGGGGAAUGCAUAGAUAUCACGAGGAACUCCGAUUGCGCAGGCAGCUUACUAAACUACUACCGACGCUCAGGCACGAAGGCGUGGGGAUCAAACAGGAUUAGAUACCCUGGUAGUCCACGCAGUAAACGAUGAUUACUAGCUGUUUGCGAUACAAUGUAAGCGGCUGAGCGAAAGCGUUAAGUAAUCCACCUGGGGAGUACGUUCGCAAGAAUGAAACUCAAAUGAAUUGACGGGG